rnacentral:rRNA from 1 species
UACGUAGGGUGCAAGCGUUAAUCGGAAUUACUGGGCGUAAAGCGUGCGCAGGCGGUUUUGUAAGUCAGAUGUGAAAAUCCCCCGGGCUUAACCUGGGAACUGCGUUUGAAACUACAAGGCUAGAGUGUGGCAGAGGGGGGGUGGAAUUCCACGUGUAGCAGUGAAAUGCGUAGAGAUGUGGAGGAACACCGAUGGCGAAGGCAGCCCCCCUGGGCUAACACUGACGCUCAGGCACGAAAGCGUGGGGAGCAAACAGG